GGGGAGGUCGCUGCCCUUGCUUGGCCGGACCCCUUCCCGAGGCAAUCGACCCGAAGGUCUGCCAAAGGUCUGGGGGUGGGGGGCUUGGGUAUGGGACAUAGCCCUUAUAUCAGGCCCGAGGCAGCAGGUUCGGGAGCCAUAUCUCCGGCCGGAUUAGAAGGCACUCUGGCUUCUGGAAUGCUGGGCGCCCCGCGCUCAAGCUCUGAAUGCCUGCACCCCCUCCCCAGACGGAUCGCAGCUUGUCCGUUGGUGUCUCCCUACUCCUCUCUCUCUUCGUUUUUCAUUCGCUCUAACAAAUAUAAAUCUAGGCUGAACAAACCUAUUCCUAGCGCUGGGUCUAGUCCUUGGGAGAGGAGGUGUCAGGGCAGGCCUCGCUCCGUCUGGGUCUCUGCCUCUGUCUCUGUCUUGGGUCUCUGUCUCUCCCGAUAGAUCGGAGGACUACAGAGCACCCGGCAGUGGGCUCCGAGCUGGCGCUUUCGUUGUUUCGGUUUUUGUCCCGACCCUCCCUCGUCGCUUACGGUCCCGAGCAUGGCUAUUUCAUCUCUGGUGCAUUGCUCGGCCUGUCCGGAAGGGAGCGUGACGGGAAAACCCUCGUGAGAUCCUUCCCUGUCCCUUAAGAAUUCUUACCAGAGUGAAGGCCAGCCUGGGACAGGGCUGGGGGAGAGCGGGCGGAAAGCCAUAGCCACCAAAGCGCACUCUGCGUCCAAACUCUCCCGAAAGUAGAAUCUCCCGAAAAUCCAGGUCAGACCCUCUUCCGCCACCUAAACCCUGAUCUCAAGAAAAGGGAAAUUGCCCCCAGUCUUAGAAAGAUAACUCCCAGAAAACCAGCAUCGAACCUGCUUCCACCCCACCGGGUCACUUGGGGAUCAAGCCAAAGUCCCGACAGGAAGGCGGUAAAGAAGCGCUCCAGAUCCUGCUCUGCCUAUUCACCCCCAAGGGAGCAAGAUCUUUUCCCUACACAGGGAACCCGAGCCCAGGAAUGAAACUCUCUGGCAGGGCCCAGGCCACUAGGCUCAGGGAAGAGGAAACUGAAGGGCCCAGAACGCUGGGCCGAUGAAGCGGGGGCGGAGGGGCCAGGCCGCGUCCGCAGCUCCCAGCCAGCCGAGAGCCGUGGAGCAGAAUGCAGCGAGGCAGCAGAGGAGGCACGAACUCUAGGCCCUGGGCGCGGGAGGGAAUGGGGCGUCUCUUGUGACCCCCACUUGAGUGCGCAGGUGAAAGGAAUGAAGACGAUCGAAAACCCGAAGCAGCAACAAGGAGCCGGGCACACUGCUUGCAGCCAAAGUUGGUUGUCAUGGAAACCUAAUUCCCCGGGCCCUCCCCGGCUGGGCCCCGGCCGGGCCCCAGCCCGAUUCUCUGAGCUUGGCAAAAAGGGCCCUGUUUACCUCCUCACUACACCGAACCCUGGCUAAACAUUUGCUGCUCAGAUUCUCUGCGCCCCGGAAUCGGGCCCAGACCGGGUGAGAGGAAGCCACGGGGCUGCCUCCUUGAGUCUCUGCGGUGAGCCCGGCUUGGCAGAAGACAGAUUUCCCCUUCCCCUUAUGCAAAAGAAAGAAAGAAACAAACAAAAAAAGCCAGCGCAAACGGGACCACCUUUCAUUUCCCCUGCACUUUCUGCCCAUUCCAGAGAACCCAAGCAGAGAGCUGUCUGUGAAAAGGCCUAAAGGCACGUCUGGUCCAAAGCCCCCUUUACUAAGAACUCAGCCAAGGUGGAGAGGGAAAGGGCCUUGUUAAGAUCCCACAGUGGUUUAGGGGCAGGACGAGAACCCUUGGGUUCCUGGCUCCCAGGCCAAUGCUCUUAGGACUAGUUCAGCCCAUGUCAUCCUUCCCUCCUUCCCCACUUCCCCCUCCAAAAACAGAGCAGCUUCCCCCACCCAAACCCACCAAAGGUCGCCACAGACCAAGUCAACAUGCUAAGGUAAACUUUUUGGGGCAGCUCAGGUUCCAGGGCGGAGGGUGUAACUUAAUAGCACUACAGUAAAACGGUUUAAUAAAGGAGGGC